UCUGGGUCUUAAAUUAAUAAAGAUUUACCAGAGUACUACGAAUUAACAAAAUUUAAAACUCCAAGGGCUUGGCGGUGUUUUAGACCUUUCAGGGGAACUUGUCUCAUAAUCGACAGUCCACGUUAGACCUAACCUUUUUUAGCAUACAGUUUGUAUAUCGUCGUCGUCAGGUAACUUUUUAGAACUUAGAAGUUAGCAGUAAAAAUUUAAAUUAAAUUUAAACGUCAGAUCAAGAUGCAGCUUAUAAAAAGGUGAUGAUGGGUUACAAUUAACAGAUUUAUAAAUACGAAUAAAUGAAUGAAAUUAAUUUUGAAGGCGGACUUGAAAGUAAAAUAGAAUAUAUAAACAUUUUGAAUAGGGCUCUGAAACAUGC
rnacentral:rRNA from 1 species